ensembl:lncRNA
UGGAACUACUGGUGGGCCUGGUGCUGAGCCUGCUGCUGGACUUACUGCUGGGUGUGCUGCUGGGCCUGCUGCUGGAUCUGCUGCUGGAUCUGCUGCUGGGCCUGUAGUGGAACAGGGCCACCCUGCCUUUCUGGGCCACCCAGCUAAGCUCCUCUCUGCAGCCUCCAGGGGGCUCACUCCCAAUAAAACGGAUCUUUCUCGCAGGGAUAAAUGCUGUGGAAAAUUGCUUUUUUUAUUGCAGUUAAGAGGAGGUCUUCUUACAAACCUGAUUCUCCUGGGGCAAGCUGGAGCUCUAGGAUGAUUGCAGCAAUGCUCCCGAUAAAC